rnacentral:rRNA from 1 species
UACGGGGGGGGCAAGCGUUGUUCGGAAUUACUGGGCGUAAAGGGCGCGUAGGCGGCCUGCUAAGUCACACGUGAAAUCCCUCGGCUCAACCGGGGAACUGCGUGUGAUACUGGCGGGCUUGAAUUCGGGAGAGGGAUGUGGAAUUCCAGGUGUAGCGGUGAAAUGCGUAGAGAUCGGGAGGAACACCGGCGGCGAAGGCGGCUGCCUGGACCAGUCCUGACGCUGAGGCGCGAAAGCGUGGGGAGCAAACAGG